GACGAACGCUGGCGGCGUGCUUAACACAUGCAAGUCGAACGGAAAGGCCUCUUUCGGGGGGUACUCGAGUGGCGAACGGGUGAGUAACACGUGAGUAACCUGCCCUUGACUUUGGGAUAACUUCAGGAAACUGGGGCUAAUACCGGAUAGGAGCUCCUGCUGCAUGGUGGGGGUUGGAAAGUUUCGGCGGUUGGGGAUGGACUCGCGGCUUAUCAGCUUGUUGGUGGGGUAGUGGCUUACCAAGGCUUUGACGGGUAGCCGGCCUGAGAGGGUGACCGGCCACAUUGGGACUGAGAUACGGCCCAGACUCAUACGGGAGGCAGCAGUGGGGAAUAUUGCACAAUGGGUGGAAGCCUGAUGCAGCAACGCCGUGUGCGGGAUGACGGCCUUCGGGUUGUAAACCGCUUUCGCUCAUGACGAAGCUUUGUGUGACGGUAGUGGGUAAAGAAGCACCGGCUAACUACGUG
rnacentral:rRNA from 1 species